GGUGGAUCGGUUUAUCUGGUUUAAAUUAUUUUCAACAAAACUUUCUCGGUUAAUAUUUAUUAUUUAAUUAAGCAAGGACACCUCUGGAUUAGAAUCUUUUCCAUGAGUACAUAAUUAGUUUCAAUUGGCGUUUUUAUCCCACGGCAAAUAUCGACUAAAAACCUUUUCAACCUUGGAAGUGCGUACUUAUUUGUGUACUCCGUAGAAACAUACAAUAAUUUUACCCCGAGGUUCUACUUACAAGCGAAAAGAAUGAAUCCCACGACUGAAAAGAGCUGGAAGUGCGUCAAGUGUUCAAAAAUAUUUGAACAGAAGCAGUACCUCGACCGUCGUGCCAUCACUCAUGAGACCAACUCGCAAGUUAAAUGUGAGAGAACUCACAUGAAGAAGGCUGAACGACCUGCGUUUCCAUGCCGUUUAUGUCCACUCAUUUUCUACUCGCAACAAGGGAUUUCGUUCCACGUGAAGAAUCACCACGACCAGAAAAAAUAUUUCUGUACGAUUUGUGACAAAAUCCUAAGGAGUUCUCACGGGUUGAAGUAUCACAUCAGAGCCAGCCAUCCGACAAAUGAGGCGCCCACGUACUCCUUCGAGUAUUGCGAAUAUCAAAGCAGAAUCAAGGAAAACUUGACGAGUCACGUGACCCGGAUGCACGUCGGGGUGAAGGGAAAGGAAUGCUAUUUUUGCGGGAAGAAGUUUUACAAUUUUUUCCCACUGGCGAGUCACUGUAGUCGGAUUCAUACUCUUGAAAAAUAAUUGCGCACUUCAUUGGUUUCAUUCGAUUAGAAAAAAAUUGUUAUACGUGUCUAUUAUUCUCUUAAUUAAUUAAUUUUUUACUUUAAAAAAUAAUUUCGGAUGCAUUGAUGGGUUGAAAACACAGUGUUUUAUUUUUGUGUUUGGAAAUUCUUCGGUUUUUGUGAUUUCACCAAUCAUUAUUAGCGUACAAUGAUUGCCUAAAAAUGGCCGGCUAAUAGUGAUUGGCUAUUUAUAAUCUUGAAAAAUUAUCACAAAUCUAUGACAAUGCUUAUUGUAGGAGAACUUGCAUCGUAGAUGUUUAAUUGUAAGGUCAUUGUGACAAUGAUACAAAAAGCUUGCUCAAAAUUAUAAAGGGAUUUAAAAAAUGCAUGAGAUCAUAAAAAAUUGCAUACAUAAUUUUAAUAACUUAGGACAUGAUUUGUAUAAUUUGUAUGAUUUAUAUACUGCUAUCACGCAUUAUUUUAUUUAACAUAAUAAAGUUAUAGGAAUAAACGAAUACGAAUUG